AUUCCAGCUCCAAUAGCGUAUAUUAAAGUUGUUGCGGUUAAAAAGCUCGUAGUUGGAUUUCUGUUGAGGUUGGGCGGUCCGCACUACGUGCGAGUAUCUGCUUCGGCCUUGGCAUCCUCUCGGAAAACGCUACUGUGCUUGAUGCAUGGUGCGGGGUUCGGGACUUUUACUUUGAGGAAAUUAGAGUGUUCACGGCAGGCAAUCGCCCUGAAUAUAUUAGCAUGGAAUAAUAAUAUAGGAUCUGAUGCCUAUUUUGUUGGUUUCUAGGCGUGAGAUAAUGAUUAAUAGGGACAAUUGGGGGGAUUCGUAUUAUGGCGUCAGAGGUGGAAUUCUUGGAUUGCCAUACGACGAACUACUGCGAAAGCAUUUCUCAGGGAUGUUUUCAUUA
rnacentral:rRNA from 1 species